ACAACCCGAAAUAACCUCAAAAAUCCGCCGUUUCAGCAGAGCUGCCUGCAAUGCAUAAUUCGGAAUGGGGUGUGCAUCGUCUUUUUUAUUUUUUAAUAUUUUUUUUUCAUUCUCUAGGUUUUUUGGUUUUAUUUCUGUCUGUCUGUCAUGCAGAGAAGCAUCCCCAUCCCGGGUGCGCCCCGUCGGGGUCCGGUACGGGAGGCGGGAGCUGUGACUUCUCGCCAGCUUCUCGGAGACCCCGCUCCCCGCCGGGAGCUCAAAGCUGUCUGUCGGAUAAUGGGGCGGUGGGACUUUGUUUAACCCCGUUGCCCCUGGGGCCAGGGGUCAAGGGCUUCCUCUUCCCCCGGGACACGGCGGAGACGCCGCUGGUCACAAGCGGAGACGGCGGCGAGGAGGGGAAGCGAUGGCCGCAGUGUCCCCCCGUCCCCGCCGCGGCCCUCCCGUGCCAUCGCCCUGGGAUCCCCUAAACCUCUUCUCUCCCGGGCAUCGAGAGGCUGAGAUGGGCUCCAGAUGGGUGUUUUGGGGGAGCAGGGGGAGGCCAAACAUCAGCACGGGGCAGCGGGUGAUGAUGCAGAGAGGCAGCCCCUGCUUUCCAGCAUCCCGCGGUUCUGCUUUCCCCUCCCAGCUGGAGCAGGAGGUUUUUAACGGGGUGCGGGUUUAAACGGUGUUGCACCCCCUCCCUCCACAGGUAGAGAUGUCUCAGCUGCCCCCCCGGAGCCAAGAAACGGGAGAAACGGGCAAUUUUUAUAGGUGACGUACGGGCUUACGUGGGAAUCCGUGCCCAGCACUGCUCUUUCAGCUUCUUUUUCUCCUGAAAUAACCCUUCCGUGAAGCUCGUACCCCCCUAUUCCAGCUCGCAAGCCCUUUUUCAGGCUGGGGAGGAGUCGGGGGAGAGGGAAGGAAAAGAGAAAAGCAAAGCCCCCCAACAUCCCGCUCUUCCCCUGCUCGGGAAGCGAGCCCCGGAGCUCCCAAAGUGAGCGCUGAAGAGGGCGACAGGAGACAGGCGGGAGCCGGCUCCGAGCUGGAGGGGUCGGGGGUGGGAUGACAGCGGAGGAGGACCCUCCUUUUCGGGAUUAAGGGAGAACCAGCGGAGGAGGGAAGCUGGCGGCACCGCGGGCAUCCGAGGUUUUCGACUCUGGGUGAGCAAAAGGAUUUCUUACACUCCCCGGGAAGAGGAGAAGACGCGCUUUCUUUCUUUUUUUUUUUUUUUUUUUUAAUGGUGUUAAUUGCUUUUAAAAUAAAAUACUACGGAAUCUGGCAACGAGCUCCGGUUUCUGCUGGCGGUGCCAUUUGGGGUUGUAUUUCCUUUCGUGGCAACUCGCAGAUGCAAAAAAGGAAAAUAACGGGGGAAUUUAAAAACACGAAUGUAAAGGCGAGGCGGCGUGUUCGGCUGUUGCAGAUCUCUCGGGCUCGAUCGGUUUAUUUUUUCCUACAUAGAAAACCUGUCUGGGGAUCCCUGUGUAUUCAUCGGGGCGGCGAGAGACUCCCCAGAGCCGCUCCGGGGCAUCGGUGGAGUGAAUCGGAGAUAAAAAUUAGGAGCCAGGUUAAACGCAGGAAGGAAGAGGAGAGGUCGGAAGCGGAGCAAAGCUCCUGGCCGCCCUGCCCCGGCCGUGCCCGCACCUUGGAGCGGACGGACGGAAGGACGGACGGACGGAUGGCCGGCAUCCCCGACGGAGGGAUGUUUCUGUCUUUGGUUAUCUAGCUGUAUGAGUGUUGUGGAGCCAUCAUAAAGCUAGAUAACCGAAAGUAGAAAUGACUUCCAGACCUGCUCGCCCAGGGGAAGCGGCCGCACCAGGACCGGCAGUGCAGAGACGGCCCGACUCGCCGCCCUGGGGGCUCCAGACAUGACUGAGAGUUCCUGGAGUGGGAUGCCUUGGGAAGGGCUGGGACGUCUCCACCUGAGCAAGGAGAGAUCCCAGUGAGUGGACAAGGAACUUUUGAAGCCUGUGAGUUCCUUCUUCUAGUUGACUGCCACCUGCCUGGACUUGCCAUCUGACUUCUCUGAGUUUCUCCAGAAGUGUCCCAACCUCCUUCUCCAUUGGCCCCAGAGAGGAGACAGCUUUGUCUCGUGAACACAGUGGAUUUCUGCAUCACUUCGGAACACAGCGGUGCAGCCAUGGGGAGGGAGCCAGGGCAGCACAGGGAGCCAAGGGAUCAUCCCACAUCAUCACUCCUGUACGUUGCCUUCAGUGCCCUCAAUACCCCAGAGCAGGACCAAAGUGCUCAGGCAGAGAGACCUGAGCCAGUCACUGUCUCACCUGGUGAAAUACCAGCUGUGUGAAGUUUGUCUUUGCUCAUGGAGCAGAGCUCAGCCCUUGCUGCUCUUGAUCCCUGGGUCUGUGGAGCUGUGGGAGUGCAGCCUUCCCAAAGGCACUGUGCUUGGGGCCCAGAGGACCAUGAGCUUUUCCAGGCCAUGCAGCCCUGCUGCUGUUGUACCGCACCCUCUCUGUUCCUGUAAGAGAAAUGUACUGCCUGUAAUUCUCUCCCAUUCAAAUCCUCCCAACCCCAUGCACUGUUGAAAAUAAACUCUCUCUUUUGCAAAAGCCA